CCAGGCUUGGAGCCUGCGGCUUAAUUUGACUCAACACGGGAAAACUUACCCGGCCCGGACACAGGAAGGAUUGACAGAUUAAGAGCUCUUUCUUGAUUCUGUGGGUGGUGGUGCAUGGCCGUUCUUAGUUGGUGGAGUGAUUUGUCUGGUUAAUUCCGAUAACGAACGAGACUCUAGCCUACUAAAUAGACGUUCCGAUCAACUCCGUCGGACGUUCUUCUUAGAGGGACAAGCGGCGUUUAGCCGCACGAGACAGAGCAAUAACAGGUCUGUGAUGCCCCUCGAUGCACGGGGCCGCACGCGCGCUACAUUGAAGGAAUCAGCGUGUGCUUUCCCUGUCCGACAGGACUGGGUAACCCGUUGAACCUCCUUCGUGCUGGGGAUAGGAAAUUGUAAUUGUUUUCCUUGAACGAGGAAUGCCCAGUAAGCGCGAGUCAUAAGCUCGUGUUGAUUACGUCCCUGCCCUUUGUACACACCGCCCGUCGCUACUACCGAUUGAAUGAUUUAGUGAGGUCUUCGGACUGGCGCUCGGAGCGGCUCUUUGAGUCGCGCCGGCGUGCCGGAAAGAUGACCAAACUUGAUCAUUUAGAGGAAGUAAAGU
rnacentral:rRNA from 1 species